CCUACGGGAGGCAGCAGUGAGGAAUAUUGGUCAAUGGACGAGAGUCUGAACCAGCCAAGUAGCGUGAAUGAUGACUGCCCUAUGGGUUGUAAACUUCUUUUAUAUGGGAAUAAAAUGUUCCACGUGUGGGAUUUUGUAUGUACCAUAUGAAUAAGGAUCGGCUAACUCCGUGCCAGCCGCCGCGUUAAUACGGAGGAUCCGAGCGUUAUCCGGAUUUAUUGGGUUUAAAGGGAGCGUAGGUGGAUUGUUAAGUCAGUUGUGAAAGUUUGCGGCUCAACCGUAAAAUUGCAGUUGAAACUGGCAGUCUUGAGUAAAGUAGAGGUGGGCGGAAUUCGUGGUGUAGCGGUGAAAUGCUUAGAUAUCACGAAGAACUCCGAUUGCGAAGGCAGCUCACUGGACUGCAACUGACACUGAGGCUCGAAAGUGUGGGUAUCAAACAGGAUUAGAUACCCCAGUAGUC
rnacentral:rRNA from 1 species